AUGGCAAGCCGCGCGUCUGGUUCUGGUGCGGAGGCUAAGGAUGUGGAGGAGAUGAUGAAGAAUCUGGGCAUCACUGAGGAUGACUUGGAUGACGUGGUUUUUGAAGAGCAAGAUGUACCAGCGGAUGCGGCUACGCGGUGGAUGGCAAUCGCGAGAGUUCACACACCAAAGAGCUAUAGCCAGUAUUGGUUCUUUCGCAAUAUGAGGGCUGCCUGGGAUCUGGCGCAGGAGGUGAAGAUCCGUCCGCUCGAAGAAAAUCUCUACACAAUGCAGUUCUCUUGCCUGGGUGAUUGGGAACGCGUCAUGGUGGAGGGACCUUGGACCUUCAAAGGGAACGCUGUGGUGCUUGCAUAG
rnacentral:rRNA from 1 species